UCAAGGGCACACACACAAAAAAGGAAACAAUAAUAAGAAAAAGCCCGCUACUCGCUGCUCCCCAAAAAAAUAGUCAAAAGAGGUUGCUGAAAGAAAUGUUAACCUAUUUUUUAGGCUGAGGUUAUUUUUGCCUCUUUAGACAUCAGUUUCAGGGUGCUGCUAGUGAAUGUCUGAGUCAACUUAAUGACCUAACCUGACCUAACAAAACCCAAAACAGUUACUAUAGGUCUUGACUCAGGAAAUUCAUAUAUGCUUCCUUACUAAUGAGACUUUCUAUAAAACAAAGUAAAGUCAUUCUUUGUUGAUUUACACCAUAAGGGGCUGGCUAUCAUGUGUUUGAAGAUACCCUAAACUUAACCUAACAAAACCCAAAACAGUUACAAUAGGUCUUGACUCAGAAAAUUCAUAUAUGCUUCCUUACUAAUGAGACUUUCUAUACAACAAAGUGAGGUCAUUCUUUGUUGAUUUAUACCAUAAGGUGCUGGCUAUCAUGUGUUUGAAGAUACCCUAAACUUAACCUAACAAAACCCAAAACAGUUACAAUAGGUCUUGACUCAGAAAAUUCAUAUAUGCUUCCUUACUAAUGAGACUUUCUAUAAAACAAAGUAAAGUCAUUCUUUGUUGAUUUACACCAUAAGGGGCUGGCUAUCAUGUGUUUGAAG